GCAUCUUUAGGAUAGCUCAGUUGGUUAGAGUGUGGUGCUGAUAACACCAAGGUUGCGGGUCCGAUGCCUGUAUGGUACA
rnacentral:tRNA from 1 species